UAUCAACGAAGACAUCAAUCUUUCUUCCUUUUAUCAAUCUAUUUAAGGUUUUCUUUUCUUCUACAGGUUUCUUUUUCGUUAGUGUUUCCUUCUGAACCAAGAUGUUUCUUCUUCCUUUUAUCUGCUUUCUGUCUCUGGUAAUUCAAAAAGGAUGACGGCGAUUCAAGCCGAUUGGUGAAGAUUUCACAAAAUCAAUGUCGGGUUCAGAUUUACAGGUAUACAAGUUUUUACGAUUUAAUUUUUGAGUUGGUUUACAUGUUGAUUUUAAAAUCUUAAACCCAACAUUGUCACCUUAUGUAAUUUUUGGUGUUCUUGCUUAUUGAGUUAGGACUUAUUAAACCCAGGUAUCGUGAUUUUUAAGUUUAGGGUUUUUUAGUUUCGAAAUUGAUUGAUGCUCAAUAAUUAUGUGAUUAAGAGAUCUGGUCACAGGGGGUUCGGCUUUAUGACCUUUGCUGAGGACGGUGUUGCAGAUCGUGUUUCAAGAAGGUCACACGAGAUUUGUGGACAACAGUUAGUCGCCGGUAGUGCUACUUCUUGAUUUUUGUCUUAACUUAACUUCUCGUAAGCUACCCAUUGCAGUUCAUCACUGAUACUUUAUAAGGUGGGCGGGUGAUCAAGAAUGGGAAACGUGCGCACAUGAAAAUAGUGUUGGGUGGAUGGAGAUGGCUGAGCCGGUUAUGAAUCUUUGUACAAAAACUAUU
rnacentral:lncRNA from 1 species